rnacentral:misc_RNA from 1 species
CGGGGGAGAAUUCAAYUACUAGUUAGSCAAAGUCCUUUCUAUACUGUAAUCUACAUAUAUAGACUCGCGAGAAUCUCUGAGUGUUCAGGCAUUCAAUCACUAUUAGAUUGAGAUUGGAUAGAUUUUUUAUAGAAAAAGUAAAAAAAUAUACCCCCCG